ACCGUUAUUUUUCUACAAUAUUUACCAAAAGGUAUACACAGUCAAACUUUGGUGCUUGUAACCGGAUUUGAAGGAUUCCUCUGCAAUAUUCUGUUAUCUGCUGCACUACUAAAAAAUUGGUUCCACAAGAAAAAAGUCAGCAUUAUGCAUUUGGCUAGCUGAUCACAUAUUGUUGUUUGCCGAUUUAUCACCCCCCCAAAAAAAAGAAAAAUCAGAGUCACACUUUGAAGUAUUCUAAUUUUGUUAUUUUUGUUUUGUUUUUUUUUCCUUUAAAUGAGUCCCUUUAAACACACACUUAACUCUGCAUCGACAACUUGCUUACUACUUAAACACAGAAAGUGUAAAAGGCGUGAAGAUGGAAAACCAACAGACUUUUAAAAACCUGAUAGUCAUGAGGCCCCCCCCCACACACACACACACACAUUUUUGUGCAAAGUGCUUUAUUGCAGUCCUGCAGUAGUUUCACUGCACGGGGGCGGUGGGGGUGAUUGGAGAGAGGUUUUGUUGCAUGUUGCUGAGGUGACAGGCUGUUUUGGUGGGGUGGUGGGGAGGUUUCGACAAACCACAGAGUGCCUCUCCUUUUUAAGUCAGGAUUAUUCUCGCGAUGGCUUACUGGGAAUCGAACCACUGAGAGGUAAAUGUAUCAGAGUGGUGUACUUUUCCCACCUUCAACAUUUUCCAUCACUGUGGGGAACUGUCGUCACACACGCGGCAUAAGACUUUUCAGAACGCACAAAAGAUCAGCUGUGAGGAUUCCCCAUCAAUCCGCAAACGUCAGUUUGCGUGAGACUGCGGUUCUGCUGCAAUUACUGCAAACGAUACAGGUCGAUCUCCAGAGCAUUUUCCGGUGCCAGAUAAGUUUUUUGUUGCUUUACUGCCCAAUGCAGGUGACUUCAUGUACGCAAUAAUUAGUCGUGUUGACUGGCCGAAAUAUGUUGCCUAGCAAUGCUAGAGCUCGUUAAGAAACCAUAUUAGUAACCACAGAAACUGAUCUUUGACCUUGAGCACACCUUUGAUUGACAAAAAGCAUAAGAGACGGUGUGCACAUUUAAUCCAAUCAGACCACAACAGCGAUUUUUGUGAAAUUUAUGAAUUGGCCACAGAAUCUGAUCUAUGUCGUUAGCUCAAAAACAUUUGAUGCGUUAUCUCCCCUGCAUUGGUUGCUAAUAAUUUACCCCCCAUUUAGGUUUGUGUUUGAUACUUUGGUCUCAACUGCACCUUAAUUUGUUGUUUGCACAGUUGGCGAAAUUUUGAUGCCUAUGUUUUUAGCAUGAGCUAGCCUACUGUUGUCAGGACCUCCACCGCCACCUUACUCAUUUUGAACAUUUGUCCUUCUGCAACAUCGUGUCCCUUGUCAAGAGUUGCAUUCCUCUGUGCAACACUGUUGCAACACCACAAUACUGGAGAGGGGAAAAAAAAAAGUUUUGCUGCAAUAACGUGAACAUGCUUUAAAUUGUAAGCGAUGCAAUUCCACUUUGCCAUGAAAAGUGCAGAAGUGACAAAUGUGAAAAGACGUAACUGAUGAAUUGUACCAUUUGACAAAAUGGAAUCACAACUGACUAACCACAGCAACUUCAGGGAAAGGCCAGAAAUCUUCGAUCGGUAACAGCAUGGGCGAGGCGGACGUCAGCAGCAAAAAAAUA